CCUCUCGUAGUUUAGUGGUAGAACUUUGGUUCGUAAAGCCAAAGGUCCUGAGUUCGAUUCCCGGCGGGGGUG
rnacentral:tRNA from 1 species